UACGUAGGGACCGAGCGUUGUCCGGAAUCAUUGGGCGUAAAGAGCGUGUAGGCGGCCACUUAAGUCCUGCGUGAAAUCUUGCGGCUCAACCGCAAGCGGUCGUGGGAAACUGGGUGGCUAGAGUGCGGGAGAGGAGAGUGGAAUUCCUGGUGUAGCGGUGGAAUGCGCAGAUAUCAGGAAGAACACCCGUGGCGAAGGCGGCUCUCUGGACCAGCACUGACACUGAGGCACGAAAGCGUGGGGAGCAAACAGG
rnacentral:rRNA from 1 species